rnacentral:rRNA from 1 species
UUGAACGCUGGCGGCAUGCCUUACACAUGCAAGUCGAACGGUAACAGGUUAAGCUGACGAGUGGCGAACGGGUGAGUAAUAUAUCGGAACGUGCCCAGUUGUGGGGGAUAACUACUCGAAAGAGUGGCUAAUACCGCAUGGGACCUGAGGGUGUAAGCGGGGGAUCGCAAGACCUCGCGCAAUUGGAGCGGCCGAUAUCAGAUUAGGUAGUUGGUGGGGUAAAGGCUCACCAAGCCGACGAUCUGUAGCUGGUCUGAGAGGACGACGAGCCACACUGGGACUGAGACACGGCCCAGACUCCUACGGGAGGCAGCAGUGGGGAAUUUUGGACAAUGGGCGCAAGCCUGAUCCAGCAAUGCCGCGUGCAGGAAGAAGGCCUUCGGGUUGUAAACUGCUUUUGUACGGAGCGAAAAGGCUCUCUCUAAUACAGGGGGCUCAUGACGGUACCGUAAGAAUAAGCACCGGCUAACUACGU